GUAUCGCCCCCUCAUCCAGUAUCGGGACCCAUGCAGGGUUUAACGUGGCGGGGAGCAAACAAAAAACUCUGAAGUAACUGCAGCCUUGCUUAACUGUGAGAUGAACCAAAAGAGGAAAGCUGUUGUUGAAAGUCCAUUGAAGGCCAUUCCUUCCUGAAUAACCUAACAUUGGACCGCCUGACGGUGCAAUCUCACUGAAGUGCCACGUCCCAGGGCUUGCUAGUUUGCUUUUGUAUAAUGUCCUAUUAACACCCAGGGUCAUUUAAGGAUGUGCCAGGUUUUGGAGAUGGAGGAAAGCCGGAGUACCCGGAGAAUAACCACCGGCCUACGGUCAGUACCUGGCAACUGCCCCACGUAGGUUUCGAACUCGCAACCCAGAUGUGGAGGGCUAGUGAUAAAGUGUCGGGGCACCUUAACCACUUGGCCUCACAUCUCGUCACGCCAGUACCAUCAGCAUUGCCUACAGUAACAUCAUUUCCAUGCUGCCAUUAUGUAUACAGUUGUCUCCUUUAGAUUAAGGUACCUACUUAUAAUUUCAGUUAUCCACAUUCCAGGACUCAAUCACUCCUUGAUCGGCAUCGGCCAUGUUGACGGAGGUGUAAACUUAUAUUCUGACACUAGAAUAAGUCAGCCAGUUAAAAUUCCGUGUACAUCGCUUUCUUCUGUAAGAUAACUUCAUGCCUCAUUUAACGACUGGGAUAUCAUGGCGGGGAAUGAACCCGUAGUCUUCUAAAUUUCACAAUGGUGAAUGUUCAACAAGGCCUAAAGCCCUAAAAGUCAGUGGCCGAAAGACAUUCGACAGAAAAUAGAUUUCAGAGAGCUGAAGAUCUCAAAUCUAGUCACCUCUUACUAUCUAUCAUGUAAGUUGGGUAAUAGGCACAAUUCUAACGCCCUACCUGCAAGGGAGAUUGGUUGCAAUGAAACUACCAAUAAUGAACACAACACAAAUGCAUACUUAAUCGCAUGCUGUUAAACAAAACAAUAAAAAAGUCUAGGUUCGUAAAAAUAGUCUUUAUUUCGUAAGGUGUUAAUACUUACAUUUAAAAAUUCUCCUUUAAAUAAAUAAUACAAAACAAUAGACUGAAAUACUCUAACCUUCAAGUCUACUGCCCAUAUCUACAUAAUUAAAAUUUCAUAUUCGAAACUGUCCCUAAAAUAAAGGUUAUUUAGAGUUGGAACUGCUCAUGUUUGAUGGAGGAGCGUCUCAAUGUUUACGGAGUUCAUUGCCCCUUGGUGUAAAAGUUUGACUCAUUUAUAAUUAUCUGUUACUAACUUUCCAAAUGAAUUAACGCCAAGACUACCAGAAUGUCUUCGAUAUCAUUUGUGUAUUUAUUCAGGUUAUCGUUAAUAUAUUUCCAUAGAGACAGAGUUUUAUUAUUGUUUAGCCUCUAAACUACCACUGGCGGUGUUCUUACAGGAUAGACAGCUGUUGUAUGUGACCAAUAUAUAUUUAAUGACAGGUAUUUGUUCUUUCAUUGUGAGGCCUUUAUUUCGAUAUCAAUAUUUAAGUAUUCAAAUGUUUCAAAUAUCUGAUAAAAGUAAUUAAAAGAAACUUCUCAAUAUAGACAACAAAUAUAGAUUAACAAUAAAAAAAAACCAUCAGCAUC